rnacentral:rRNA from 1 species
AACGAACGCUGGCGGCAGGCCUAACACAUGCAAGUCGAACGCCGUAGCAAUACGGAGUGGCAGACGGGUGAGUAACGCGUGGGAACAUACCCUCCGGUUCGGAAUAACUCAGGGAAACUUGAGCUAAUACCGGAUACGUCCAAGGUUUUAAUCGGCCUUGGAGAAAGAUUUAUCGCUGGAGGAUUGGCCCGCGUCUGAUUAGCUUGUUGGUGAGGUAAUGGCUCACCAAGGCGACGAUCAGUAGCUGGUCUGAGAGGAUGAUCAGCCACAUUGGGACUGAGACACGGCCCAAACUCCUACGGGAGGCAGCAGUGGGGAAUAUUGGACAAUGGGGGCAACCCUGAUCCAGCAAUGCCGCGUGGGUGAUGAAGGCCUU